rnacentral:tmRNA from 1 species
GGGGGUGUAAUGGCUUCGACAGAUCAACCGGACCUUUGUGCUGCAGUGGUCUCCAAACCUUAAGGGACUAGGCGCAUUAAUAAAUGCAACAAAUAAAAAACAAGAAACUGUAACUGACCAAGAUUUAUUCUUCGCUUCAGCAGCUUCAAACAACCUAGCUUUCGCUUAAUUAGCGACUAGCGUGAAUCCACUUUUUCCUCGGAGGUGGCCUAACGUAUUACACGAGGGGUAGUUAUGUGGAUCUGCUAAAACAUAAUGAACCUAUAGCAGAACCUUUGUGAAGGAUUUCGUUCUAUUAGAAUUCAACAGAGGCAAAUCCCAAAAUGAACUAAACUGUAGACGCGCUUUGUGUAAGGUUGGUGUGGACCCGGGUUCGACUCCCGGCAUCUCCACCA